AAGGCCUUCGGGUCGUAAAGUUCUGUUGUGGGGGAAGAAAUCGCCUAUCGAUAAUACCGGUAGGUGUUUGACGGUACUCCACGAGGAAGCCCCGGCUAAUUACGUGC
rnacentral:rRNA from 1 species